ACCAAGGCUUCGAUCGGUAGCCGGCCUGAGAGGGCGGACGGCCACACUGGGACUGAGACACGGCCCAGACUCCUACGGGAGGCAGCAGUGGGGAAUUUUUGUCAAUGGGGGAAACCCUGAACAAGCAACGCCGCGUGGAGGAUGAAGGCCCUCGGGUCGUAAACUCCUGUCAGAGGGGACGAAAGGACUUAGGGUUAAUACCCUUAGGUAUUGACGGUACCCUACGAGGAAGCCCCGGCUAACUCCGUGCCAGCAGCCGCGGUAAUACAGGGGGGGCAAGCGUUGUUCGGAAUUACUGGGCGUAAAGGGCGCGUAGGCGGCCCAGCAAGUCUUUCGUGAAAUCCCACAGCUCAACUGUGGAACUGCGGAAGAUACUGCAGGGCUUGAGUCCGGGAGAGGGGAGUGGAAUUCCCAGUGUAGCGGUGAAAUGCGUAGAUAUUGGGAGGAACACCGGUGGCGAAGGCGGCUCCCUGGACCGGUACUGACGCUGAGGCGCGAAAGCUAGGGGAGCAAACGGGAUUAGAUACCCCGGUAGUCCUAGCUGUAAACGUUGAGCACUUUGUGUGGCGGGUAUCGACCCCUGCCGUGCAGAAGCUAACGCAUUAAGUGCUCCGCCUGGGGAGUACGGUCGCAAGGCUGAAACUCAAAGAAUUGACGGGGGCCCGCACAAGCGGUGGAGCAUGUGGUUCAAUUCGACGCAACGCGAAGAACCUUACCUGGAUUUGAACUGCUGGGGACCGGUGCAGAGAUGUACCUUUCCUUCGGGACCCUAGUAGAGGUGCUGCAUGGCUGUCGUCAGCUCGUGUCGUGAGAUGUUGGGUUAAGUCCCGCAACGAGCGCAACCCUUGCCCUCUGUUGCCACCAGGUAAUGCUGAGCACUCUGAGGGGACUGCCGGUGAUAAACCGGAGGAAGGUGGGGAUGACGUCAAGUCCUCAUGGCCUUUAUGUCCAGGGCUACACACGUGCUACAAUGGCUGGUACAAAGGGUUGCAAAACCGUGAGGUGGAGCUAAUCCCAAAAAGCCGGCCCCAGUUCGGAUUGGAGUCUGCAAAUCGACUCCAUGAAGUUGGAAUCGCUAGUAAUCGCGGAUCAGCAGGCCGCGGUGAAUACGUUCCCGGGCCUUGUACACACCGCCCGUCACAUCACGAAAGUUGGCUGUACUAGAAGUCGCUAGGCUAACCCGCAAGGGAGGCAGGCGCCGACGGUAUGGUUGAUGAUUGGGGUGAAGUCGUAACAAGGUA
rnacentral:rRNA from 1 species